rnacentral:rRNA from 1 species
AAAUUGAAGAGUUUGAUCAUGGCUCAGAUUGAACGCUGGCGGCAGGCCUAACACAUGCAAGUCGAACGGUAGCACAGAGAGUUUGCUCUCGGGUGACGAGUGGCGGACGGGUGAGUAAUGUCUGGGAAACUGCCUGAUGGAGGGGGAUAACUACUGGAAACGGUGGCUAAUACCGCAUAA